AGCGGUAGGAACAUGUGGUUUAAUUCGAUGAUACGCGAGGAACCUUACCCGGGCUUGAAUUGCAGAGGAAGGAUUUGGAGACAAUGACGCCCUUCGGGGCCUCUGUGAAGGUGCUGCAUGGUUGUCGUCAGCUCGUGCCGUGAGGUGUCGGCUUAAGUGCCAUAACGAGCGCAACCCCUCUCCUUAGUUGCCAUCAGGUCAUGCUGGGCACUCUGGGGACACUGCCACCGUAAGGUGUGA
rnacentral:rRNA from 1 species